rnacentral:rRNA from 1 species
GACGAACCGUGCGAACGUUGUUCGGAAUCACUGGGCUUAAAGGGCGCGUAGGCGGGCUGGCAAGUCAGGGGUGAAAGCCCACGGCUCAACCGUGGAAGUGCCUUUGAUACUGCCGGCCUUGAGGGAAGUAGGGGCGUGCGGAACUUCCGGUGGAGCGGUGAAAUGCGUAGAUAUCGGAAGGAACACCGGUGGCGAAAGCGGCGCGCUGGACUUCUACUGACGCUGAGGCGCGAAAGCCAGGGGAG